UACGGAGGAUGCAAGCGUUAUCCGGAAUGAUUGGGCGUAAAGAGCUCGUAGGCGGCUUGUCGCGUCGGCUGUGAAAACUCGGGGCUCAACCCCGAGCCUGCAGUCGAUACGGGCAGGCUAGAGUCCGGCAGGGGAGACUGGAAUUCCUGGUGUAGCGGUGAAAUGCGCAGAUAUCAGGAGGAACACCGGUGGCGAAGGCGGGUCUCUGGGCAACUACUGACGCUGAGGAGCGAAAGCGUGGGGAGCGAACAGG
rnacentral:rRNA from 1 species